GGCCACAGCCAUAUCAACCUGCAGCCCAAGAGCGGUUACUCGCUGAAGCUAAGCAGGGCUGAGCCUGGUUAGUACCUGCAUGGGAGACCUCAAUGGGAAACUAGGUUGCUGUUGGCU
ensembl:rRNA 5S_rRNA 5S ribosomal RNA